rnacentral:rRNA from 1 species
GACGAACGCUGGCGGCGUGCCUAAACAUGCAAGUCGAACGGAACUUCGGUUCAGUGGCGAACGGCGGAGUAAUACAUGAGCAACGUGCCCCUAUGACUGGGAUAUACAGAGGAAACUCUGGGCAAUACCGGAUGUGGCUAUUCCUUGGCAUCUUGGAAUAACUAAACGGAUUUAUUCGCAUAGGGAGCGGCUCAUGACCCAUCAGGUAGUUGGUAGGGUAAUGGCCUACCAAGCCGACGACGGGUAGCGGGUCUGAGAGGAUGAUCCGCCCGAGUGGGACUGAGACACGGCCCACACACCUACGGGUGGCAGCAGUUGGGAAUCUUGCACAAUGGGGGAAACCCGUAGAUGCAGCGACGCCGCGUGGACGAUGAAGGGUUUAGGCCUGUAAAGUCCUUUUACCAGGAAAGACUUAGGACGGUACCUGGUGAAUAAGCUCCGGCUAACUACGUG